AGAAGGUGCAAGCAACACACAAGAAAGCGGUGGCCGAAAAAUUAACGAAAACAAGCUCCUCUCCAAAAAGAAAAGGUGGACUCCUUAUGGAAACACCAAGUGCAUAAUUUGUAAGCAGCAGGUGCACCAGGAUGCCAAGUAUUGUCACACAUGUGCUUACAGCAAAGGGGUUUGUGCUAUGUGUGGGAAGCAAGUACUUGACACCAAGUUUUACAAACAGAGCAACGUGUGAUUAGAAGCCAGAAUUGAUAUUCAACUUG
rnacentral:misc_RNA from 1 species